rnacentral:rRNA from 1 species
GACUCUCGGCAACGGAUAUCUUGGCUCUCGCAUCGAUGAAGAACGCAGCAAAAUGCGAUACUUGGUGUGAAUUGCAGAAUCCCGUGAACCAUCGAGUUUUUGAACGCAAGUUGCGCCCGAAGCCAUUAUGCUGAGGGCACGUCUGCCUGGGCGUCA